rnacentral:lncRNA from 1 species
AGAGAAAGUUCAAUUUUAGAGAGAGAAAGUAAGGGUUCAGACUGAAGAAAGAGAGAAACUCUCUCUCAUUUUUAUUUUGUAAUUUAUUUAUUUUUUCUUUUCUUUUCCUUUCCUUUUUCUUUUCUUUUUCCUUUUUCCUUUUCCUUUUUUCUUUUUCUUUUCCUUUUCCUUUUUCCUUUUCUUUUUCUUUUUUCUUCCUUCUUCUACUUCUUCCCGUGGCCUCCCCUAGGUGAAAAAAAUGAAACAGAAAACCGAAUGGUCCCCUCAUACGGUUGGCUGAUCGACGAUCGAUCGGCACAGGAAUGGCCGGCAGUCGGAGGAGAGCACACCGCCAUCCCAAGGGUCCCAAACCGAUGGCCGACGACGACCACCGGCAUCCGAAAACCAAAAAAAAAUGAAACCUCUCCCACGACAAAAUCUGACGACUUCGAUCACCGACGAGCGUGCACACCGACACGAGAAGGAAGGGAGAGAAGAGAGGAAGAGAACCACAUGCUUACCUUGAGCUCCGGCGAUCUCUCCGGCGAGGAAUUGCGGCGGGCACGGUGAUGGUUUCCGCGAGCAAUUUCCGGCGAUCUUCGCCGUUUCGCUCCAGGAUUCUUUGGUAGAAAGAAGGGAGAAGGAUCUCCCCCUUAAAUAGAACUGGAGGAGAGGAGUUUGACUCCUCUCCGAUGAGGUUUCGGAUUCCGAUUAGGAACCGGUUGGGAGAAGAAGACUCUCUACGGGAGUCUUCUUCAUUUUUUUUUUAUGGGCUGG